CCCUUAUUUAUUUAUAGCUUCAAUCUGUUUCCCUCUUUAAAAAAAACAGCCAAUGCGCGUUUAAAUUAUGGUGCACAUUUGAUUUAACAAGCUCCCCCUGCGCACGGGUCUUUUUCUGUUUAUAGUGCCAAUAGAACUGCUGCAUUCUGGGUCGUAUCCAAGCAAGAAACCGGAGGAUCACAUCCAACUGAACAUAAACCUGACAUGGACACAAACACCGCAGGGCUCUUCAGGGAACCAUAAAUAAAAAUAAAACGCAGACACACGGCGCUAAAGGAAACGUCCUCUCUGUGGGUGCAGAGGAACGACGCCAGAGACCGAAAAACAAGGACGCACGCGAUCGUAUUUGGACAGUCUGGGGACGAAAGAAUCCCAACAACACUGACGUGUCCUGCAGCGCCUCCUGUCUGCUUGACCUGCGCUGACUCGGGUCAAUGGAGGUGAUUGUUUCGUGGUCACCGGGAGGAGAAAACGAGUUUGGAGGAGAAGCUCCGCGGCGUCCCGUCAGAGACACUAAUUGGUCCAAAUCCGAAGCAGGUGGCGAUAUGCAGCUUCACAAUGUGUUUACCUGCAGUAAUGAGGA
ensembl:lncRNA